AUACGAAGGGGGCAAGCGUUGUUCGGAAUUACUGGGCGUAAAGGGAGUGUAGGCGGUUUAGUAAGAUAGCGGUGAAAUACCAGAGCUCAACUUUGGAAUUGCCGUUAUAACUAUUAGACUUGAAUGAUAGAGAGGAUAUCGGAAUACCCAGUGUAGAGGUGAAAUUCGUAGAUAUUGGGUAGAACACCGGUGGCGAAGGCGGGUAUCUGGCUAUUAAUUGACGCUGAGGCUCGAAAGCAUGGGGAUC
rnacentral:rRNA from 1 species